rnacentral:rRNA from 1 species
ACUCACCAGGUCCAGACAAGAUAAGGAUUGACAGAUUGAGAGCUCUUACUUGAUCUUUAGGAUGGUGGUGCAUGGCCGUUCUUAGUUGGUGGAGUGAUUUGUCUGCUUAAUUGCGAUAACGAACGAGACCUCGGCCCUUAAAUAGCCCGGUCCGCAUCUGCGGGCCGCUGGCUUCUUAGGGGGACUAUCGGCUCAAGCCGAUGGAAGUGCGCGGCAAUAACAGGUCUGUGAUGCCCUUAGAUGUUCUGGGCCGCACGCGCGCUACACUCCCAGGGCCGGCGGCUACAUCACCUUGGCCGAGAGGUCUGGGUAGGUUUGUUAAACCCUGUCGU